rnacentral:rRNA from 1 species
CAAUAGCGUAUAUUAAAGUUGUUGCAGUUAAAAAGCUCGUAGUUGGAUUUGUGGCGUACGGUGUGUUCCGGGCACUUGUUGUCUGAGUAACCUGCUGUUGCCAUCCUUGGGUGGAACCUGUGUGGCAUUAGGUUGUCGUGCAGGGGAUGCCCAUCAUUUACUGUGAAAAAAUUAGAGUGUUCAAAGCAGGCUUAUGCCGUUGAAUAUAUUAGCAUGGAAUAAUGAGAUAGGACUUUUUUGCUAUUAUGUUGGUUUGCGCAAAGAGGUAAUGAUUAAUAGGGACAGUUGGGGGUAUUCGUAUUCCAUUGUCAGAGGUGAAAUUCUUGGAUUUUUGGAAGACGAACUACUGCGAAAGCAUUUACCAAGGAUGUUUUCAUUAA